AUAAGGUUUGCAGUGUCUCAUAGCACAGUCUCAAGACAUUGGAGGAGAUACCAGGAGACAGGCCAUUACAGAAGGAGAGCUGGACCGGGCCAUAGAAGGGCAUCAACCCAGCAGCAGGUCCGAUAUCUGCUCCUUUGAGCGUGGAGGAACAGGAGGAGCACUGCCGGAGCCCAACAGAAUCGCCGCUGGCUACAGGUGUGGAACUUGGUUGGGUUGCCAGCUGUUAUACUGCACCACACUCGGAACAGCAAGUGAGAAAAUGCGUGGAUUGAUGAGCAGAUGUUCUGUUCUG